rnacentral:rRNA from 1 species
GAUUAUGGCUCAGGAUGAACGCUAGCGACAGGCUUAACACAUGCAAGUCGAGGGGCAGCAUAAAAGUAGCAAUACUUGGUGGCGACCGGCGCACGGGUGAGUAACGCGUAUGCAACCUACCUAUCAGAGGGGAAUAACCCGGCGAAAGUCGGACUAAUACCGCAUAAAACAGGGGCACCGCAUGGUGAUAUUUGUUAAAGAAAUUCGCUGAUAGAUGGGCAUGCGUUCCAUUAGGUAGUUGGUGAGGUAACGGCUCACCAAGCCGACGAUGGAUAGGGGAACUGAGAGGUUGGUCCCCCACACUGGUACUGAGACACGGACCAGACUCCUACGGGAGGCAGCAGUGAGGAAUAUUGGUCAAUGGGCGGGAGCCUGAACCAGCCAAGUCGCCGUGAAGGAAGAAGGAUCUAUGGUUCGUAAACUUCUUUUGCAGGGGAAUAAAGUGCAGGACGUGUCCUGUUUUGUAUGUACCCUGAGAAUAAGGAUCGGCUAACUCCGUGCCAGCCGCCGC